GCGCUUGCUUUGGCAGCACAUAUACUAAAAUUGGAAUAGAGAUUAGCAUGGCCCCUGCCCCAGGAGGACACGUGAAGUGUUCCAUUAAAAAAAAAUUCUU
rnacentral:snRNA from 1 species